CCUUACCUGUUGCACAGCCACCCUGAUCUUAGACACAUCGAACCCUGUUUCCUUAGAAAUAGCAUGAAUAGCAUCCACAAUCGACUGUGUGGCGGACAUAAGAGUCUUGAUGUCUGAGAGUUGAGAGUCAAUGGAGCUGGGCUUUUCAUUUAGGUAUGCAGGAAUGGGAGAGGGAAGAAUAGCAAACAGAGGCUUGGUUUCC
rnacentral:lncRNA from 1 species